AUUGAACGCUGGCGGCAUGCCUUACACAUGCAAGUCGAACGGCAGCGCGGGGCAACCUGGCGGCGAGUGGCGAACGGGUGAGUAAUAUAUCGGAACGUGCCCUAGAGUGGGGGAUAACGUAGCGAAAGUUACGCUAAUACCGCAUACGAUCUACGGAUGAAAGUGGGGGAGUCGCAAGACCUCAUGCUCGUGGAGCGGCCGAUAUCUGAUUAGCUAGUUGGAGGGUAAAAGCCUACCAAGGCAUCGAUCAGUAGCUGGUCUGAGAGGACGACCAGCCACACUGGGACUGAGACACGGCCCAGACUCCUACGGGAGGCAGCAGUGGGGAAUUUUGGACAAUGGGGGCAACCCUGAUCCAGCAAUGCCGCGUGAGUGAAGAAGGCC
rnacentral:rRNA from 1 species